ACGUCCUCUAACCAAGCAGCAGCAGAUGGGGGAGUGGCAGAUUUCCAGACCAGCAAGAUUCUCCUACGGGCCAAAAGCGAUGUCACUUAUAAAAACCAGGAAGUCUGAAGAUCUCAGAACAGAUCCCUGAGGCACACCACUGAUCUCCGAGCUGCAUGCAGAUUAUGACCCGCCUACAGCCACGAUGGACAACCAUUUCUAUGGGCAAGCCAGUUCUGGAUCCACAAAAACAAACUUGUUGACAGGAAUGGAUCAACAGGAAAGGCGCUUUUUAUUUGAUAUCAACGUUGCAAAACCUCACGAUGGGCCGAAGAAAGAAUGGUCAGACAAUGGGUUAGAUAUGCUGGAAAUGAGCUCAAUCGAGGAAAAGGUUUGUGCCAGACCUUGUGAGGAUGACUACAAACUGUCCGGGGCCUGAUCGCGGAGUCCCACUGGCCGCACUCAACCCAUAACCCUCCAUUCCUUUCCUGUCCAUAUGCUAUCCAAGUUUA